rnacentral:rRNA from 1 species
UACAGAGACUGCAAGCGUUAUUCGACGUAAUUGGGCGUAAGGGGUUCGUAGACGGUUUAUUAACUAUUUGACUGAGCCAUAGAUUAUUAGUGGUAGGGAAUUUAAAGUGGUAGGCUAGAGUCGAGCAGAGGGUAAUAGAAUUUUCAGGGUAGGGGUAAAAUUCAUUGAUACUGAAAAGACUGUCAAUGGCAAAGGCAAUUAUCCAUGUUACGUACUGACGUUGAGGAACGGAGGCGUGGGGAGCGAAUGGG